rnacentral:rRNA from 1 species
AUCCCUUGACAUGUCGUGCCAUCCGGAGAGAUCCGGGGUUCCCUUCGGGGACGCGAACACAGGUGCUGCAUGGCUGUCGUCAGCUCGUGUCGUGAGAUGUUGGGUUAAGUCCCGCAACGAGCGCAACCCACGUCCUUAGUUGCCAUCAUUCAGUUGGGCACUCUAGGGAGACUGCCGGUGAUAAGCCGCGAGGAAGGUGUGGAUGACGUCAAGUCCUCAUGGCCCUUACGGGAUGGGCUACACACGUGCUACAAUGGCGGUGACAGUGGGACGCGAAACCGCGAGGUUGAGCAAAUCCCCAAAAACCGUCUCAGUUCAGAUUGCACUCUGCAACUCGAGUGCAUGAAGGCGGAAUCGCUAGUAAUCGUGGAUCAGCAUGCCACGGGAA